UUGACCUCGGAUCAGGUAGGGAUACCCGCUGAACUUAAGCAUAUCAAUAAGCGGAGGAAAAGAAACCAACACGGAUUGCCUUAGUAACGGCGAGUGAAGCGGCAACAGCUCAAAUUUGAAAUCUGGCCCUUGGGUCCGAGUUGUAAUUUGGAGAGGAUGUUUUGGGUACCGCCGUGGUUUAAAUUUCUUGGAACAGAAUGUCAGAGAGGGUGAGAGUCCCGUCUGGAACUGCGGUAGGGCCUAUGUAAAACUCCUUCGACGAGUCGAGUUGUUUGGGAAUGCAGCUCAAAAUGGGUGGUAAAUUUCAUCUAAAGCUAAAUAUUGGCCAGAGACCGAUAGCGCACAAGUAGAGUGAUCGAAAGAUGAAAAGCACUUUGAAAAGAGAGUUAAACAGUAUGUGAAAUUGUUGAAAGGGAAGCGCUUGCAACCAGACUUGUGUGUGGCGGUUCCCCCUUGCUUCUGCUUGGGCUACUCCGUCAUAUCCAGGCCAACAUCGGUUCUAGGGGUCGGUUAAAGGCCUUGGGAAUGUAUCUACCCCCGGGUAGACUUAUAGCCCAGGGUGUCAUGCGGCCUCCCGGGACCGAGGAACGCGCCUCGGCGAGGAUGUUGGCGUAAUGGUUGUCAGCGACCCGUCUUGAAACACGGACCAAGGAGUCUAACAUCUAUGCGAGUGUUUGGGUGUCAAACCCGUACGCGAAAUGAAAGUGAACGGAGGUAGGAAGCCUCAAGGCUGCACUAUCGACCGAUCCUGAUAUUUAUGGAUGGAUUUGAGUAAGAGCAUAGCUGUUGGGACCCGAAAGAUGGUGAACUAUGCCUGAAUAGGGUGAAGCCAGAGGAAACUCUGGUGGAGGCUCGCAGCGGUUCUGACGUGCAAAUCGAUCGUCAAAUUUGGGUAUAGGGGCGAAAGACUAAUCGAACCAUUAUAUGAUAGCUACUAGGUGGUUAAGUGUAACCUCAAAGUGGUUGCAAGUGCCUUAUUCUGGCGCGACACUGCUAAAUUGCGGGGACUUCCUAAAGCUAUUGCUACCAAGCUGGCCCUGAAAAGGGGCGGUGGCCGGGGUAAUGACCUAGGGUGUGGUAAAAACGCAAUAGAUGUAACAAUGGAUGAUCCGCAGCCAAGUCCUAAGGGUUUUUUAAGCCUAUGGAUGCAGUUCACAGACUAAAUGGCAGUGGGCUCUAAGUCAGGAUCUUGGAGCUUAAGAUAUAGUCGGUCCCCGGGGAAAGCCCGGGCGCAUACGCUAAAUCUGUGGUACAGAAUAGCCUCCUUAGGGAGGGGUUGCUACAGACCUGAACGGUGCGGACACUUCUUAGGGG
rnacentral:rRNA from 1 species